AAGCCGAGGCGCCGGGUCACUCAUGACAAAUGUCCCCGUGUCUCGCCGACAGGCCCCGCCUGGCCCUGCCACUCCAUCUGCCCAACAGGCCCCCGGAGAGUGCUUGCGGGUGUCAGUUUCAGGUAAAGAGCUCUCGAAAACGCAAAGUCUCCAAAAAGGUUACUAGGGUUCCAGCGCCUCCCCAAGUCCCCGCAGCCUGGGCCGCCGCUGUAGCAGGAGGGGUUUGUACCCCGGAGUGGCGGAGGGAGAGGGGAGACUCCCCCCACCCCCAGCGCCGGUGUUAACGAACCCCAAGCGAAUUUCUGGGGUUGAAAGCGCUAUUAGGGCAGCCGGAUUCCCCCCUCCCCGCCCCCUGCCCGCAGGACCAGCCUCAGAAUCGGGCGUGGGGCUGGGUCGGGCGCCCGGGCCGGGACAGCGUAGACGGUGGACCAGGCUGGGAUGUGGCUCCAGAUGCCGCCACGCGUCCCCGUCCCCGCGCUGUGUGGGGUCGCGAACUGCCCCCACGUGGGUCCCUUUGGCACCGGCUGCCGGGGGGAGCCUGUUUGCGGUGACGUGGGACUCUUAGGCCCUAGGCCCAGGGGACUGCCAGCCCAGCCUCUCUGCCCUGGAUCCCCCAUCCCCGAGAGGAGGGUGUGUGCAGCCCCUGGGAGGAGCAGCGCUAACUGGGGCCGCAGCCUGGAUCUGUUCGGAGCUGCGGUCGCCUCGGAGGAGGGUCCGGGGAGGCACGACGCGCCGACAAACGUGGCCGUCAACACCUCCAGCUGCCGGGGCGAGUCGUUUCAACGGGCUGGGAAAGAUAGAGGCACGAAAACUGCAGAGCUGAAAUGAACUGAAAUAAGAGCGGAAUUGAAAUGCACCAGGGGUUUCACCGCAGGAAUUGUUUCAACAAAGUAUCCACGUUUUCAAGAUCCAUUGAAAUGCUUCAGGUGUGGUUUGCAUUCUCACCGACCCUCUGGCCAGUUCUGCAGUCAUUUGUACACUCCUGGUUAAAUAGUUGUGCCUCACAGUUUCUUUGGCGUCAUAAAAUCAGCCCCCCUUCCCACCCGAAUCGUGCAACUUCUUCCCCUUGCCCCUUUAAAAGAGUUACACUUUGGAAGACUUAAAAAAAAAAAAAAAAGGACAAGAAAUGGAUAUAGGUUUUGUAAGUGUUAAAUAACUUUCUCAGCGUGUAUUAAAGGAAGAUUGUAUUUUA